CCUACGGGAGGCAGCAGUGAGGAAUAUUGGACAAUGGGCGCAAGCCUGAUCCAGCCAUGCCGCGUGCAGGAAGAAGCAUCUAUGGUGUGUAAACUGCUUUUGUACAGGAAGAAACACUCCCUCGUGAGGGAGCUUGACGGUACUGUAAGAAUAAGGACCGGCUAACUCCGUGCCAGCAGCCGCGGUAAUACGGAGGGUCCGAGCGUUAUCCGGAAUCAUUGGGUUUAAAGGGUCCGUAGGCGGUUUAAUAAGUCAGUGGUGAAAUCUGGUCGCUCAACGAUCAAACGGCCAUUGAUACUGUUAGACUUGAAUUAUAAGGAAGUAACUAGAAUAUGUAGUGUAGCGGUGAAAUGCUUGGAUAUUACAUGGAAUACCAAUUGCGAAGGCAGGUUACUACUUAUGGAUUGACGCUGAUGGACGAAAGCGUGGGGAGCGAACAGGAUUAGAUACCCUGGUAGUCCACGCCGUAAACGAUGGAUACUAGCUGUUCGGAGCAAUCUGAGUGGCUAAGCGAAAGUGAUAAGUAUCCCACCUGGGGAGUACGUUCGCAAGAAUGAAACUUAAANGAAUUGACGG
rnacentral:rRNA from 1 species